rnacentral:misc_RNA from 1 species
GCCUCACCUCCAUAAUACAAUGACAAUGCCAAUUCCCCUAAAGCUGCAUGUUUCUUAUAAAAUGUAAACCUAAGCACAUUAUCCAAGGGGAAUCCAAAUACUGAUACCCUACAAAACCCAUCGUCCCUCCAGGGACAAAAUAUGUUUAAAAGAAUAUAAAUGUAAGCCACUCUCAUUUAACUUAAUUGGCAUCCGCAAGCAUAUCCAUAUAUUGUACAUGUCAAUUAAAACAAACUUACCAACUGACUUUCAUGUUGCUUACUGAAAUCCUUCCACACUUACCCUGUUUUUCUUUUCUUCUGUGCGCAUGUAUGAAUUUCUCAUUAAGUAGUGAUCACCAUCUACUGUCCAUCUUCCAACAAUCGUAAGCAUAAAUACCCCAACAUCAUUACUUGGAGACUAGCCAUGUUCAUUUUGACGUUCCCGGCUCUUGCACACUGCUCCUUGGGGAUGUGUCACCAGAAUUGAAUACAGCUUGACAUUUUUGCAUUUCAAUCUUGCCUCCAGCGAGGCCACACAUUAUCCCAUUUGAUGUCUGGUGAGUAAUGUUAAUCACUGCUCAAAACCAUCAACAAUCCUGUACAGAAUGUCAUUUUUUAGUCAUGUAACUUCAGUCUCUCAAUCAUAAUUGUCUUACGAACCCCAAAUCCUCACCCCAACAACGAUGCAUGUGCACACAUUCCUUUGAGCUAAAAGAUCUGAAGCAAUAGCCUGCAAGUGCUCUUGUAUAUAAGCUUCUCCAUAAAGAUUCCCCUCGCAUCAUCAUUUCUAUCUUUUUGGACAAUAUUGAUUCCAUAAUAGUGCGGUGACGACUGAGGCAGUAAAUGGGAAUGUGAAGUUUGUCAGCCAAAUUGUUUCAACUUUUUACUUGUAAAUCAGCAUCAAUUAUAAAUGACACGAUUGCUUUGGGAAGAGGCCAACCAUUUCAUCCUCAUAAAAAGAAAAAUAUACACUUACUAAUGCCAACUUUGCAAGUCAUAGGUGGUUCAAACUCACAUGCCUAUCUUAACUCUAAGCACAUUUUUCCAUAUGUGCUAGAUAAAGACUCUAGUAUAUUUGUCAAAAAAAGCCUUGCCAAGUUUAAAAACCUUGCUACUAAAAUACUUAACAACAAUUGGAAAUUUACAUACUAUCAAUUAUCACGAGACUGUGAUGUUCCAAGUCGUGAAUAAUCACUGUUCUUGCAUCAAUAAUCUACAAUAUCUAAAGAUUACAUGACCACAAAUCACUUUUUGAUUUUUAACAGCCAUAAACCAGAUGCAUAAGCAUGAUUCGACAAAAAGCAGUACUUAUCAUACUUGAGAUACUGCUGAAUGUUUAAAUAGUUGGAGAGCACCACAGCAAAAUCAUUCAGUUUGUCACAUCGGGGCAAAGGUGUAUUAUCGUCUAUAUGGCUUUAAGUGAUAAUUUUGGAACUCUGAACCAAAUGCUAUUGACUCUUCAUCAAGCUUCUUCUUUAGCCUUCUCCAAGUUCUCAACAUAUCAGACUGUAUUAGUCCUCUGUAAAGAGUCUCAAAAGUCACCUUUUGAGGAAGCAAUCCCCUCUCUAUCAUCUCCACAAAAAACUGACAAGCUUCUUUCCACUUCUGUUUCUCGCAUAGCCCAUGUAUCAACAUUGUAUAUGAAUCCAAAUCUGGCCCUGAACCGCUUGUGCAUAAAUCAUUCCAUAUCUCUUUCACAAUAUCCAUGCGAUUCAACUUCAUAAACAUCCCCAGCAAUACAUUAUACGUGUGCAGGCUCAGAGCAUACAGAUCAUCCUCCCUCAUUUUCCUAUACAACUUCAAAGCACUUUCUGCAUCCUUCCUUCCUCUAUACUCUUUAAAGAAACAAUUAUAAGUUGCUGCGUUCGGGCUAACCCCACUUCUGACCAUCUCAUCAAGCAACUCCUCUGCAUCCUCAACCCUCCCACAAGAACAAAGACACUUCACCACCGAAGUAUAAGUGGCAACGGUCGGGCAAAUCCCCUUCUCUUCCAUCAGCUUCAACUUAUCAAGUGUUAGCUGCGGCUUAUGAGCCCUACUAUACACAUGAAGCAAUAUAGAAUAACUCGCGACAUCCGGUUCAAUCCCUCUGUGGCGCAUUUCAUCGAACACUUUCUCAGCAGACAUUAUUGUCCUCUCAAACCUAACCUCAGGCUGCAAUCUGGCCCUCCUGCAAAUCCCAUCUAACAACACAUUGUAGCUAACAACAUUAGGCUCAAUCCCUCUCUCAUCCAUCUCUCUCAGAAACCUCUCCGCCAUAUCAAUUCUGCCAAUCUUGCACCAACCAUAUAUCAAAACUGUAUACAUUCUCACAUUAGGACAAAAUCUAGACUUCCUUUUAUUGAAAAUCUCAACAGCCACUUUAAUGUAGCCAUACUUACACAAGGUAUCAAGCAAGAAACAGAAAUGGGUCUCAUCUACAGCUUCCAUAACGAAAGAUUCCAUAUCAUCAAAAGCACGGAUAGCCUGACGGGUAAGACCGGCAGCGAUCAAUCUGCGAAUGAGUAUAAAGAAAGUAAGGGAAGUGGGUUGGAUGUUUCUCUGCUCCAUGUGGAUGAUAAGCUGCCAAGAUACGUCAAACUGGUGGACCUUGGAGAGAAUGUCGAUCAUGAUAUUGUAAGUAAUGGAGCUAACAGUGGAGGAAGAAGAGGGGAGAGAAAGAGCGUAGUGGAAAAGGGAUAGGGCAAUUUUUGAGUGGUGGCGGAGACGGAGGAGGGUCUGGUGGAGGAGGGGAGGGUUAAGAGAGAAGCCGUGGAGCUGGAGAGAUGAUUCCAUGGCAUGGAAUGGGUUGUGUUGGUGGAGCAAGAUUUGGGAAAGCAAUUCAGCGUCGUUUGAAGGUUGGAGAGUAGGAAGAGAAGAGAAGGAGGAGAAGAGACGGUGAGUUUGGAGAGGAAGGGAAGAGAUGAGAGUGCGGUGUUGAAAUAUUCUCACUGCCAUUUUUUAAGUCUGGAAUUCGAUUUCAGGAGGAUCAAGGAGAAGAGGCAGACGAGGUGAGGAGCUAGCCUA